UCCAGGGGGGUGGUCCGUCAGACUUUCUCCCAUUGCGAAAGAUUCCCUUACUCCUACGGGAGGCAGCAGUAGGGAAUCUUCCGCAAUGGACGAAAGUCUGACGGAGCAACGCCGCGUGAGUGAUGAAGGUUUUCGGAUCGUAAAGCUCUGUUGUUAGGGAAGAACAAGUACCGUUCGAAUAGGGCGGUACCUUGACGGUACCUAACCAGAAAGCCACGGCUAACUACGUGCCAGCAGCCGCGGUAAUACGUAGGUGGCAAGCGUUGUCCGGAAUUAUUGGGCGUAAAGGGCUCGCAGGCGGUUUCUUAAGUCUGAUGUGAAAGCCCCCGGCUCAACCGGGGAGGGUCAUUGGAAACUGGGGAACUUGAGUGCAGAAGAGGAGAGUGGAAUUCCACGUGUAGCGGUGAAAUGCGUAGAGAUGUGGAGGAACCACCAGUGGCGAAGGCGACUCUCUGGUCUGUAACUGACGCUGAGGAGCGAAAGCGUGGGGAGCGAACAGGAUUAGAUACCCUGGUAGUCCACGCCGUAAACGAUGAGUGCUAAGUGUUAGGGGGUUUCCGCCCCUUAGUGCUGCAGCUAACGCAUUAAGCACUCCGCCUGGGGAGUACGGUCGCAAGACUGAAACUCAAAGGAAUUGACGGGGGCCCGCACAAGCGGUGGAGCAUGUGGUUUAAGUCGAAGCAACGCGAAGAACCUUACCAGGUCUUGACAUCCUCUGACAAUCCUAGAGAUAGGACUCCCCUUU
rnacentral:rRNA from 2 species